rnacentral:lncRNA from 1 species
CUAACUUAAGCCUUUUCUUUGAUUUAGAAAAGCAUUAUAAAUAACUUCUAAUCUCAAAACCUAAUUCAUAUGGAUUAAUAAGCAUUUGUGAAUAAUAAAACAUUAUUCAAAAUUUUAUACAUUUUAUAAAGGUUAAGUAUUUAUCUAAAUACCUUAAAUAAAGGUACUAAAUAAAUACCUAAUUUUUGUUAUCUUUUCCAAGGGUUUAAGAAUUUUUAAUGCAUAAAGGAAAAUAAAACAAACCUAAAAAAAGUGUUUUCCCUAUUUUUGAACACUCCUACAAAUUAUAGUGAAUUAAAGAUGAAGACUGAAUUUAAAUCUAAUUUCUAAAACACCCUAAAUCAAUUUAUCCUCAAACCCCCUGAAAAACCUACUCUCACUCACCCC